rnacentral:tRNA from 1 species
UGCUGGCUAGAGUUAACCCCUUAAACCACCUAAUUUCGACUUAGAAAUUCUCGGCGCACCCCGAGGCCAGCAC